CCUACGGGGGGCAGCAGUCGAGAAUCAUUCACAAUGGGGGAAACCCUGAUGGUGCGACGCCGCGUGGAGGAAUGAAGGUCUUCGGAUUGUAAACCCCUGUCAUGUGGGAGCAAAUUAAAAAGAUAGUACCACAAGAGGAAGAGACGGCUAACUCUGUGCCAGCAGCCGCGGUAAUACAGAGGUCUCAAGCGUUGUUCGGAAUCACUGGGCGUAAAGCGUGCGUAGGCUGUUUCGUAAGUCGUGUGUGAAAGGCGCGGGCUCAACCCGCGGACGGCACAUGAUACUGGGAGACUAGAGUAAGGGAGGGGGAACCGGAAUGCUCGGUGUAGCAGUGAAAUGCGUAGAUAUCGAGAAGAACACUCGUGGCGAAGGCGGGUUCCUGGACAUUAACUGACGCUGAGGGACGAAGGCCAGGGGAGCGAAAGGGAUUAGAUACCCUAGUAGUC
rnacentral:rRNA from 1 species